rnacentral:rRNA from 1 species
CAGUAGCCGCGGUAAAACGUAGGUGGCAAGCGUUGUCCGGAAUUAUUGGGCGUAAAGGGCUCGCAGGCGGUUUCUUAAGUCUGAUGUGAAAGCCCCCGGCUCAACCGGGGAGGGUCAUUGGAAACUGGGAAACUUGAGUGCAGAAGAGGAGAGUGGAAUUCCACGUGUAGCGGUGAAAUGCGUAGAGAUGUGGAGGAACACCAGUGGCGAAGGCGACUCUCUGGUCUGUAACUGACGCUGAGGAGCGAAAGCGUGGGGAGCGAACAGGAUUAGAUACCCGCGUAGUCCCUGUCUCUUAUAU